rnacentral:rRNA from 1 species
AGUGAACGCUGGCGGUAGGCCUAACACAUGCAAGUCGAACGGCAGCACAGUAAGAGCUUGCUCUUACGGGUGGCGAGUGGCGGACGGGUGAGGAAUACAUCGGAAUCUACUUUUUCGUGGGGGAUAACGUAGGGAAACUUACGCUAAUACCGCAUACGACCUACGGGUGAAAGCAGGGGAUCUUCGGACCUUGCGCGAUUGAAUGAGCCGAUGUCGGAUUAGCUAGUUGGCGGGGUAAAGGCCCACCAAGGCGACGAUCCGUAGCUGGUCUGAGAGGAUGAUCAGCCACACUGGAACUGAGACACGGUACAGACUCCUACGGGAGGAAGCAGUGGGGAAUAUUGGACAAUGGGCGCAAGCCUGAUCCAGCCAUACCGCGUGGGUGAAGAAGGCCUUCGGGUUGUAAAGCCCUUUUGUUGGGAAAGAAAAGCAGCAGGUUAAUACCCCGCUGUUCUGACGGUACCCAAAGAAUAAGCACCGGCUAACUUCGUG